GGGCGUGUGGUCUAGUGGUAUGAUUCUCGCUUUGGGCGAAGCCUGGCUGUAACCGGGUUUGACUACUAAGCAUGCGAGAGGCCCUGGGUUCAAUUCCCAGCUCGCCCC
rfam:Eremothecium cymbalariae DBVPG#7215 chromosome 6, complete sequence.